GCAAGGAUUCGCUUGCACGGCGAUGCCUGGGAACCGCGCACCCGCCCCGAGCGACCAGGGCCAGGCCUCCAGGCUGCUCUCCGGGCAGGGGAGCAGGCUGCAAGGGGGACGCACGGGCUCAGGAGAGCGGAGCGGUGACAUCCCCCAUGGGCGAGCAGAAGCCAGACAAAUGAGGCAGGAGAGACUUCACUUCACCCGUUGCAUGGGAGCAAGAAAGGAGGCACAUCUUUCGCAGGCAAUGGCUGCACAAGGCCUUCAGUCAAGCCCAGGUGAUUUGCUGGCACGGAGAGUCAGGACUGCUGGGAAAUGUGGGCAAGUCACUCCCUUGCCCUGUGCCUCAGUUUCCCCAUCCAGCAAAACAACACACCUCCCUCCCCAGAGGAUGACAGCAGGCAACGGAUCAUGGCAGAGGUGGUGGUGUGAGAUCGCCAUCCAUACGCUCCAGAGACGGAGCACAAGGCCUCACGAGUUCCUAGUACUGUUAUUUUCCCUGGAAAGGAUUGUGAAAAUUUGGGCUUCGGGGAAUUGGCUUGACUGGCUGCAUCUGUGACAGCCUGGAGGACAAUGAAGCCCUCUCUCAACUCCAGAAGGGCAGCACCUCUGGAGCCGAGAGCGCGCCGCGGCUCAUGGGACGUUCAAAGCAGGGCUCAGGGCAGUGGCCUGGAGCAAACCGGCGCUGGAGCCGGGGAGCGGGCAGGACCCACAACGUGCAGGGCUCCCCAGCACAGCAAGUUACGUGGGCCUGAAGUCAGGCAUCCGAGGGUGGCACCGAGCAGCUGCGUCCCAGCAGCCCACGACCGCUCGGGACAGGAAGGGAUGAGGCAUCCUGUAUUCCCUUGAAAGUGCCUCAGGGAAUAUUACCACGGCU